CUCCUACGGGAGGCAGCAGUGGGGAAUAUUGGACAAUGGGCGCCAGCCUGAUCCAGCCAUGCCGCGUGGGUGAUGAACGCCCUAGGGUUGUAAAGCCCUUUCGGCGGGGAAGAUAAUGACGGUACCCGCAGAAGAAGCCCCGGCUAACUUCGUGCCAGCAGCCGCGGUAAUACGAAGGGGGCUAGCGUUGCUCGGAAUCACUGGGCGUAAAGCGCACGUAGGCGGAUUGCUAAGUCAGGGGUGAAGUCCUGGAGCUCAACUCCAGAACUGCCUUUGAUACUGGCGACCUUGAGUCCGGGAGAGGUGAGUGGAACUGCGAGUGUAGAGGUGAAAUUCGUAGAUAUUCACAAGAACACCAGUGGCGAAGGCGGCUCACUGGCCCGGUACUGACGCUGAGGUGCGAAAGCGUGG
rnacentral:rRNA from 1 species